UUUUAUCACAACAAACUAAGGUCUUUGUAUUCAAAUAUUUUUUUCUCUGACGGUCAUCAUGCAAGUUCUUUGGACAUUCUGCGAGAAAUACGUGGGACGUUUUGGGAUGUUUUGUAUUGCUCUCUUGGCUCUGGAAGAAAUGCUGGGUGAUAACUUUGUUUGUCCUUGCAAGCAUGACUACAAUCAUGUGAUUAGUAUUUUAUAUGGCGCUGUCCCAGCUGUUGGUUGCUUAGUUUUUACACUGGUGUGUGUAGAUCGAAAAAAGAAAAAAAACAGCUCAAAAAAUUACAGCUCUGGAUGUAAAGAAAAAAGAAUUUUCUACUCUAUUCUCUCUGUAUUUACCUGGGUGUCUCUUUAUUUCCUUGAUGGCCGAUACUUGGCCUGUGCUUAUUCGAAUUGGGAAGGUCUUUACCUUAAAUCUGACAUUCUGGGGACUGGAAACUGGUGCAAACCAAUUGGAAAUGGAACCUCUGAGUUAGGGAGUCAGCUGUGGAUUCUGAAGGUGACAUUCAUAUCUCAGGUUAUAGGAUUUUCCCUGAUGACAGGGGUUAUCCUUGCUUUCGGAGUUUUCAGGGGGCGGUUCCAAGACAACACUGAAGAAGUGGGUCAACAUGCAGAAGAAGAAAUAACAAUGAAGACUUUGAUGAGUCACACCGUUAGACUUUGAUUUCUAAAUGCUAAAAUGUGACCAACUUUGGAUUUUUUAUUUUUUUAUUGGGUUAUACAUGAAUUUUGCUAAAUAUAGUUUAUUGAGCAAAUGUAAUCUUUAAAAGUACAGCAUAUUAAGUAGAAAUGUAUGUCAUAAAUACUUUAUACUGUGUGUUUUACGUGAUUUAUGAAUUGAUUUACUAUUAUCUCGGGAUUUUCUUUUCAGAUAUAUAUACUUUGUCCGGUUAAGUAGAUGUAAGCUUUUAUAAUAUUGUAAGACAGAAGAUUCCUGUCCCUUGAGAAUAGACCCCUCACUGUGCUUCCUCAUGCCUUAUGUGGUAACACCUUCUAUAUCCUGUACCCAGAUGUUCUUUUGAUGUUCGGGACGUAGCACCGUUUAAAUGUGCUCUCUUUAGUGUAUCAAGUGUAUCAAGGUGCAGCGGACACAACAAGAAAUAACUUUUCUUCUCUUAGCCUAAAACUUCGCUCGGACACAUUUCUUCUUCAUUUAAACCUAACAGUAGACUAAGACAAAGUUCUACUUGUAGAGAGAGAGAGAGAGAGAGAGAGAGAGAGAUGUUUUUCUUUUAUAAUUUAUCGUAAAAAAUGAAAAUGUCUUUCGGCUGACCAGUUGUGAACAGCAUACAGCUCUGUGCAGCCAUGUACCUUAUGGGCAGUGUUGGGUGUAAUGCGUUAGAGUACCUGGAUUACUUUUUUGAUGUAACGAGUAAUCUAACACGUUAGGUCCGCCAUUUAAGUACUCAGUUAUUUAGUUAUAUUUUCAAAAAGGUAAUCUGUUAUUCAGACAAUUUAUGUAAUUUGUGAGCCAGACAGCGGUCAUUCCCAAUCCAUUCGUGUGUGUAAAAGUGAAAGUCAUCCUAGAAGCCCCCGACCCCGAUAACCCAUCCCCUUCUGGUAUUCCUGCUGUUACAGUAUAUCCCGGAAUCAUGAUGAACCAUUGCGCGAAACCCGCGUAGGUGAGAUAGAGGUGAUAGUAGUUAAUAGUUUAUGGGCCAGAGUGAUGAUGAUAGAAUAAUUAUCAAGGUCUUGACUAAAACAACAUGCAUGAGGAAUCACAAAGGAGUUUUUUGUUUUCUGCAAUGGAAAAGUACUCGAACUUACUUUUAUUAGAAAGUAACGCUGUAAUGUAACUGAUUACUUUAUAAAGACAGUAAUUUUGUAAUGUAAUUAGUUACUUUAAAAAGUAACGUCCCCGAACCAUUCUUAUGGGUGUAUGUCAACGCUCUUUCUUUCUUUUUAUAUUACUUAAAUAAAUUCAGUGAAAUAAAGCCUCUGGUUUUGUGAAAAUGUUCUGGACGGAGCUCUGAGUGCAUUAGCAUGAGGAUGUGUUUCUGAUGGAAACUCUGAAGUGCUUUCAGAUAGCUCUGUGGAUAAAAAGGCAUCUCUACAUCUCAUGAACAUCAACAGUUUCAACUCCAGAAAAUAUUUCAGAUGGAACAGAGCAGGAAUCCUGCAGGUUGAUGAAUGAAUUUACACACACUCAGUAGUGUUAUUAGGAUAUAAAUGAUUUUUUACAUUUACAAAUCAAAUCUUUAAACUUGUAUAUUUAUUAAUGUAUUAUUUCUGAAUAAAUGUAAUCAUAUCCUUGAUCAAAGCUUGAUCAAUGAGGCCCACUGGCACAUUAAAAUGUGUUUAUUUUUUUAGAUGGUAUAGGAGAGCAAUGUGCAUCAUUGGGGUAAUCAUUGCUACUAUCUGUUGCAGAAUGCUGCAUUCAAGAGGGUAAACAGA